UGCAACAAGAUAAUCUUGACUGUCACUUUACAUUAUUGAGCUGUGGAGUUUGCAUGGAUGACUCAUUACUUUGUAAUGUUUAAAUACCUGUAGGUUAUAGGGUCCGUAGGCUACCGAGUUUGACCGUUUCUCCUGUGUGCCAAUGACCGAUUGCCAAAUGGUGUCUUCAGAUUUCACUGCAGAUGAGAGGUUGGAGAUUGAGAGCAUGAAGAUGCAUAAGAGAGACCUGCUAGAGGACAUCCAGAAGCUAAAGAUGGAGAUUGACAAAGUCAUGGCGGAAGUUCAAGACUUUGAGUCUACAGAGGAGAAGUGAGUGGUCUUUAAUCUUUUAUC